rfam:Echinostoma caproni strain Egypt genome assembly, scaffold: ECPE_scaffold0000441
GGCCUCGUAGCUCAGCUGGUAGAGCAUACGCGUACAAAGCGUAGGCGGCGUCCAUGCGUGGGUUCGAAUCCCACCGAGGCUA